rnacentral:rRNA from 1 species
GAUGAACGCUGGCGGCGUGCCUAAUACAUGCAAGUCGAGCGAACGGACGAGAAGCUUGCUUCUCUGAUGUUAGCGGCGGACGGGUGAGUAACACGUGGAUACCCUACCUAUAAGACUGGGAUAACUUCGGGAAACCGUAGCUAAUACCGUAUAAUCUUUUGAACCGCAUGGUUCAAAAGUGAAAGACGGUCUUGCUGUCACUUAUAGCUGCAUCCGCGCUGCAUUAGCUAGUUGGUAGGGUAACGGCUUACCAAGGCAACGAUGCAUAGACGACCUGAGAGGGGGAUCGGCGACCCGAGAAGUGAGCCACGGUCAAGACGCCUACGGGAGGGAGCAGUAGGGAAUCUUCCGCAAUGGGCGAGAGCAUGACGGAGCAACGCGGCGUGAGUGAUGAAGGUCUUCGGAGCGUGAAACUCUGUUAUUAGGGAAGAACAUAUGUGUAAGUAACUGUGCAGAGCUUGACGGUACCUAAUCAGAAAGCCACGGCUAACUACGUG